GACGAACGCUGGCGGCGUGCUUAACACAUGCAAGUCGAACGGAAAGGCCCUGCUUUUGUGGGGUGCUCGAGUGGCGAACGGGUGAGUAACACGUGAGUAACCUGCCCUUGACUUUGGGAUAACUUCAGGAAACUGGGGCUAAUACCGGAUAGGAGCUCCUGCGGCAUGGUGGGGGGUGGAAAGGUUCGGCGGUCGGGGAUGGACUCGCGGCUUAUCAGCUUGUUGGUGGGGUAGUGGCUUACCAAGGCUUUGACGGGUAGCCGGCCUGAGAGGGUGACCGGCCACAUUGGGACUGAGAUACGGCCCAGACUCCUACGGGAGGCAGCAGUGGGGAAUAUUGCACAAUGGGCGGAAGCCUGAUGCAGCAACGCCGCGUGCGGGAUGACGGCCUUCGGGUUGUAAACCGCUUUCGCCUGUGACGAAGCGUGAGUGACGGUAAUGGGUAAAGAAGCACCGGCUAACUACGUG
rnacentral:rRNA from 1 species